UCAAAAACAUGGCUCUCUGUGUUAAAGAGAUAGGGAGUCUCGCCUGCUCAAUGAUGUUCUCAUUAAAUAGCCGCAGUAUCCUGACUGCGUGAAAGUAGCAUAAUAAUUUGCCUUUUAAUUGGUGGCUGGUAUCAACGGUAUGAUGAGGGUGAAGCUGUCUCUUAUUUAUUCUAUUGAAUUUACCUACUAGGUGAAAAGGCCUAGAUAAUUUUAUAAGACAAGAAGACCCUGUCAAGCUUUACAAAACUAAAAUUUAUUCUAUGUCUUUGUUUGGUUGGGGCACCGGGGGGCACAUAAAAUCCCUCCUUUUUUCCUGCCUUUCUAGGGAUGAUCCGCAUUAGCGAUCUAAGGAAAAAGCUACUGCAGGGAUAACAGCGUAAUUUUCUUUGUGAGUCCUUAUUUUAAAGAAAGUUUGCGACCUCGAUGUUGGAUUAGGGUAUCCUGAAGGUGCAGAAGCUUUCAAGGGUUGGUUUGUUCAACCAUUAAAACC
rnacentral:rRNA from 1 species